CAAUGUUCUAAGAGAUAGAUGGGAGACACAGAGAAGUUCAUGAGCCUGUGGUGAAAUCAGCCCGUCCUCUUCCCCCUGCCCCAGGCAGCUACUGAACCUCCCAACCCUCUCCACUCACGUGGCCAUGAAGAUCCGUGUUCAACAGCAUGAGAGCACAGGUUAGAGUGUGGGCUCCAUCUGGGGUGGGGGGGAGCUAGUCAGCAUAUCUCCCUGCCUGUCUCCUCCACUCCCAUCUCCACUCCACCCCCUCAGGCUCUGGCCACAAAGUGUGCAUUGAGGAGGAGAACCCUGGCUGCCCAAUGACUAGGGCAUCAGAUAACACAAUGUGCAGGGAAGCCCCCAUGUCCAUUCCACCGCAGUUAUGCACCCCUCCAGAUAUGUGAAUACUUACAGGCACACAUACAUUUCAGCAUGUAUGCACCCAAGUUCACAUUUCUACUUAUGUGCCCAUUGACACCUAAGCUUGCUUGGGUACCUAAGUGACCGUGCCCUUCUGAGUAGUCUCUGGGUUUGUGCCUGUGAACAGAGUCCACUCCCCACCCCCACCCCCAAGCUUCCCAGUCCCCUCACCCUCAGAGGACAGGGCCCCAGGGUUACAUUGAUGGUAGCGCUGGGAGAAAUGAGCCAGGACCCGCUCUCGCUCCUGGGUUUCCCCCAUCAGAGCCAGCUCCUUCAGAAAUACCCUAGGGUGAAAGAGUACCAGGGGGAUAUGAACAUUGCCACCAGCAUGGAACCUCAUCAUGGUUUCCAACUCAUACCUGAGCCCCCAUGCUACCCUGCUUGGCACAGGAAGACCCUGGGGAGGAAGAGACAGAGUGUAAUGUAGAGCUGAGGCCUGGGCACUUAAACCCUGUUCAUAGUCUGGUUUUGUCUGGCUUAUUAUUGGGGCUGGGUCCAGCUGGCACAAGAUAUAUGUAUUAGGGAGAGUAUCCUCUCCUGGAUCCAGCAGAUGCUUUGAAAAAAGGAAGGAACCCACCUGAGUGCCUGGUCCAGAUUCAUUCCAGUGAAGACAAAGAAUUUGAGGUGCUGAGUUCAGCCGGAACAUUUUACAUGAGAAGAAUGAAGAUUGAAGAGGGAUCAACUUGCUCAGGUUGGAGAGAUAAGAACAGUCUCCCCUCCUGUGCCCCCUGUGCCCUAGAGGCAGUAUGGUACAGCAGAAACAACAGUGGCUCAGAAGGCUGACUACCUGUGGGACCUUAGACAAAUCCCUCAGUUUCUUCAACCAUAUGAGGGUAAAGACUAAAUGGUCUCUGAUUUUCAUUCUAGCUCUAGAGCGAUGAUUUCAGCAACAUAGUAGGUGGUUAAUAAAUGCUUAUGACCUAGGUUUGAGAGA